ACUGUGGUGGCCUAAUGGUUAGUGCGUUGGACUCCGGAUUUGAGUGGUCCAGGUUUGAUCCUUGGCCAGCGUCACUGUG